UUUAUAUUGAGUGGAAGGGGUGCACAUAAUCGGGACAAACAUGCAGGAGGGAGGAAAGGAACCAAACUGUUUUCUAAGGAUCGAGAGUCUGCACCAAGAAUUUUCGGUUUCCCUCCAACCGCCCCCACCUGGAUUCUCCUCCCGCCCACCCAAACGCUGCCGUUACUAAGCAAAAGAAUGGGCUCCUUAACUUUAAUUUCUAAGGACUUUUAGGCUCCUCGUAUGAGGCUCCGUUUUAGGCUCCCGGUUGGCCCAGAGUCAGCAUCAGUGACGUACACACCUAAAUCUGGUCCCCCGGCCCUUGGCGACCCGCAGGCCGGCGGCGGCAGCUGUGCAGCUCCCGCCUCACCCUUGCUCCGCGCUGGCCAAAGCAGUGAGGGAAGGAGGGCACCCUGUGCCCAAAGGCCCCUCCUCUUCUUACAGUUAGUUAAGCUUCGGGAUUCCGGACCCGAACCCGGGGAGACUCGAACUCUCAGCCGCGCCAGUCGGGAACUCCGGGAGACAGCAGCGGCACCGGCAAGCUGGUCCUGACCCCCGACUCCAAUACUGCCCCCCGCGCUCCUGCAACCAGGAGUCCCCGCCGAGCGUUCCAACUUUCCCGCGGGGCCCGCCGUCACGCGCGCUCUCCCCGCCCGGCGGGCAGUCGGGCAUCGAUCGUGUCCUGGCCGCGCGCGAGCGGUGGGCAGGAGCAAAGGGAGUCCCAGACCUAGGGCCAGGGCGUGCGAAGCAGCGGUGGCGGCUCAGCCAGCGUUGCCGAAUUAUUCAUUAUUAAAGGAAAGGACGUGUCUCUUUUACUAAGUUUUCACCUCCUUUGGGGAGGGCUGAUCUUGCCCUGGAUCUCAGCUUCUUGCAAAAUCUAGGUUAGAACCGUGCAGGGGCAGCCGCGGCUCACGCUCGCCGGCCGCCCAGCACCCUUGCCCCGAGGCGGCCCAGCAGGCAUCUCGCCUCCAACCCGCAGCCCACCUCCGUGCGCCAAUCCGCGCCCUCUGCCCUCUGCACGGACCCUGCUUCCCAGGGGCCGCUCCCGCACUCUUCGGGUCCCUUUCUGCCGCCGUCAGCGCAAAGUGACUGUCGCUGCACUCACCUUUUCUAGGACAUGGUGGGGAGGCUGGGGCGGAGGGAGAGGGGCAGCGAGACUCCCGCCGCCGCCACUGCUGCCGCCACUAGCAAGUCCAAUAUUAGCUGGCCUGCAGUGAGGAUGGAGAGGAUGAUAAUCCCGGCAGUCACCCUACUGACGGCCAGUUCCCAGCUUUGUGGAAGAAGGAUAAAGAGCAGAGGGGAAGAAGACAGCACUAGAAUGGUUCUCUGCAGCCAUUGAAAUUCUUCUGGUGAUCCGACUCCUGCAUCAGAGGGCUUCAUUUGAUUUCUCCAAUCUCAUUUCCUUCUACCCAACGUGACUGUCUUCCAGGAACGGAGCGCAUCAGGUUUGAUCAGCUUCCAGUUGGUCUUAACUUUUGUGUACCCCUUCCUUGAGAGAAGCUCCUCAGGUAAGCAGCAGGUAGGCAGUGCUGGAUAUGGAACCCAGGGCUUCAUACAUUCUAGGCAGUGCUCUACUGCUGAGCUGUAUUCCCAACCCCAACUUGCUUCUUGGCCAUGUCAAGCUUCCUAUAAUGUGAGCAUCAUUCCUAAUCGGUCUUAGCAUCUACUGUUUUUCUUUGGGCUGACAAUAAGGGUUUUGUUGGUACUUUAAUAGAACUUGUAAAUUAAAUUCUUAUAAAUGAUAGGAAGAAUCUAGCAGAUAAGAAGGGAGGAAAUUACAAGAGUUAGUAGAUUUAGUUAUUGGGGAAUAGGAAUACAAAGGAGGCAAGAUGACCUUGAAUCACCACAGAUGAAGGUUGCCACCCACAUGGUCAUUAAAUGUAACCUUGGAAAACACAAGUGGUAUCCCAUUGUGUUCUAUCAAGUAAAAUGAUACUCCAUGAGGUGAAAUCUGGGUAGUAAAAUCACCCCUAAUGUAUACACAAAGCUAGGAAUGGCAAAGGUAGAGUUGGGAUGGGUAAAUAGGAUUUAACUCAAAGAGAAUGUUGAUCUGAAUUUUCAAAAUAUUCUCAGCAGAGACCUUCCAUGUAUAAUGGCUUUAUAAAACAUACUCAAAUUCACAUGGCAGGAAUAGAAAAUGGUUGUAUUGUUUUUGAUGGCUUAAUGCUACUUAUGAGAAAACUAACAUGUCUAGGAGGAACAAAAUUCAUAAAUACGGGUCUUGCAGCUGUCUUUAUUUCUAGAAAAUGGAGCCUGUGAUAAAGCUCACAUGCUCAGUUUUAUCCAUAGCUAAAUCACAGAGCAGGGAAGAAAGAAGCCUGAGGCCUGAAGAAGGAAAUGCAAGACAAAAAGUUUCAUCACCAAGCAGACCCCAGUCUCACAAGACACAAUUGAUUGCUUGGUGUUUGUUAUGGAUUAGCUGUGGUGUCCCCAAAAGCUCACGUGUGAGACAAUUCGAGAGGGUUGGGGGGGGUGUGUGGGAAAUGAUUAGGUUGUAAGAGCCUAAAAUUAAUCAGUGAAUUAAUCUCUGGUGGGAUUAACAGAGGGGUAAGUGGAGGGAAGUGGGGUGUGGCUGGAGGAGGUGCGGUAUUGGUGGUGUGGCUUUGGGGUAUAUAUUUGUAUCUGGCAGGUGACCUUUCUCUCUCUGUUCUCUGAUCCUCAU